AACAGGAUUAGAUACCCUGGUAGUCCACGCCGUAAACGAUGGAUACUCGGUGUUAGGUUAUUCAAUCGACCUAGUGCCUAAGCUAACGCGUUAAGUAUCCCGCCUGAGGAGUACGAUCGCAAGAUUAAAACUCAAAGGAAUAGACGGGGACCCACACAAGCGGUGGAGCAUCUUGUUUAAUUCGAUAAUAAGCGGGAAACCUUACCUAGGCUUGACAUCCCGGAGAAUUUUCUAGAGAUAGAAAAGUGCCUUUUGGAACUCCGGUGACAGGUGCUGCAUGGUUGUCGUCAGCUCGUGCCUUGAGGUGUUCGGUUAAGUCCGUAAACGAGCGCAACCCUAGUCGUAUGUUGUAUUUCUCAUACGAGACUGCCGGUUACAAAUCGGAGGAAGGUUAGGAUGAUGUCAAAUCAGCAUGGCCCUUAUGCCUAGGGCUACAAAGGUGCUACAAUGGUAGAUACAACGGGCAGCCAAGUGGUAACACGGAGCCAAUCCCUUAAAGUCUAUCUUAGUUCGGAUCGAGGUCUGCAACUCGACCUCGUGAAGUUGGAAUCGCUAGUAACCGCAUAUCAGCUAUGGUGCGGUGAAUAUGUUCCUGGGUCUUGUACUCACCGCCCGUCAAGGCACGAAAGUUGGGGGUGCCCGAAGUCCCUCGUUUCUGGGGGCCUAAGGCAAAACCAAUGAUUGGGCUUAAGUCGUAACAAGGUAUCCGUAGGAGAACCUGCGGAUG
rnacentral:rRNA from 1 species